UUGGUGCGCAAGCGCAGAGCCGAGGCUGACGGCUGGUCGGUGAUGAACUGGGGAAGAGAUAUUGCUCAUAGCACAAGCUAUACAUAGUAGAGAGCGCUACGUUUCAAGCCACAAUUAAUGGACUUCAGGAAACAAUACAGCACCUGAGUUACCUGCAAGUGGAACUUAAAGAGUCAGAGCUGAAAGACAUAAUUGAGAGGAAAGAAGGAGACAUUCAAGAACUGAAAAAGAAAUUACGGGAUCAAGAACGAGAAAAACAGAGUGAAAUUAUUAAACUUCAAAUGGAGGUAAAAUGCUUUUUACACAGUCUGUUGGUAUUUGUUUGAAUAUUUAUAUGUGCAUUGUUUAGGCUUUUUAUGCUCAAGACAGUUGUGCAUCUGAAGCCUUUUAUGUUUUAUCAUGCUUGAGUCCCACUAUGAUAAGGAUUACUCCAUACGAAGAAGGACAUAGUCACCAGUCCGGCCAAUAGUCUGUGUAAAACUACUUUUACUUUAUAAUUCAGUUCAGCGCAAAGAUGGCAAGAAUACAGAGCACUUCAGUGAAAACACAGCAGCAAGAUCCUUCCAAUCUACUGCAAAACGUUUUUAAAAGGGUAAGUUGUGAGCCUCCUACUGUACACUAUUGUAAAUCUAUACCUUUUGCUUUUCAAGCAUUAUCAUUAAGUAAUGCUGCCUAGCUUAAUUUGUUUCUCCCUAGACAGGGUGUCUAGGUGCAGAUGUGUCUGGUCCUGCCUUGCACUUUAUGUGCUCCAGGUUGCAAUCCAGUAAAUCUGCUUUUUUAUUAUGGCUGCAUGGGUGGAUCUAUGAUGUAAAUACAGAGCAGCAGAGAAGAGAUGUCUCCCAUUAAAAUGAUAUGGAUUUUGUCACAGUCUUGUCACACUUUUGUCACAGGAUGAUGUUUAAUUAAAAAUGAUGCCUUAGGUGUCUGACAUCAUUACUUAUUUCAAUCACUAUGAAAAAUUAUGGAUUGCGUAGAACGUCGCAUAAUAACGGCAUAUAACGUCAGAAGAGGCAUAUUUUUAUCAAUUUCAUAGAAGCUGCAGUUCAUAGAAGAGGAGAAAAACAGA